GGGCCAUCUACAUAGCCUUCAACAAGGAGGGUAUGGAAGGGAGUGCCUUCGGGUCCCUCUCGAUACAUAACACGGUAGUCUUCAGUAUCUUGUUUUACUUUCCAAACAGGAUGAGCUGCUUCAGAAGAUUUUGCCUUCUCAUUAUCAGCUACAGAUGCACUCCUUAACAUGCUCAGGAAGUUUGCCACUUCCUUGGUUCUUCGCUCUACCAGGUUGUCACUACAUUCUUGAAGAUCACAUUCUGACGAGCGUAGCAUUUGAUUCUUGACAAGGUUCUUAAGUAAGUCAUC
rnacentral:misc_RNA from 1 species